UUCUAAUUGUUUCAUAAUUAGUAAUACCUGCUCAAUGAAAUUUCAAUAGCCGCAGAAUUUUCUGUGCUAAGGUAGCAUAAUCAUUUGCCUUUUAAUUGAAGGCUAGAAUGAAAGGUUUAACAUAUAAAUUUCUUUAUUCAUGAAUUUGUUUAAAAUUUUCCUAAAUGUAAAAAGACAUUUAUUAUUAGAGGGACGACAAGACCCUAUUGAGCUUCACUUUAGUUUAGCUGGGGUGGCAAAAAACAAAUUCUUUCAUUUUUUAAUUAUCCAACCUGUUGAUUUUUGAAUUAGUUACCAUAGGGAUAACAGCAUAAUUAUUUCUUACAGACCUUAUAAAAGAAAAAGAUUGUGACCUCGAUGUUGAAUAUUUAUCUUUCAGGAGCAGCAUCCUGAAAAGAAGGUCUGUUCGACCUUUAAAAUUUUACA
rnacentral:rRNA from 1 species